AGAACCAGCAAAUACAGCCAGGCAACAACAGGAUAUGGAGGCUGCAGAGACGCAGGAGGAAGGGAGAGGGGCCUUGCCAGGCUGGCUUGUGCCACUGCCUAGCAGAGGCCCUCAUCCCCCCUCCAUGCUGGGGACCACCCAGCCUCCCUGCAUCUUCACAGUCCACUUUCAGGCAGCAGUCUUGGUUAGAAGGCAGGGCUAAUCUGGGACACUUAUUCAUUUAAUUUUAUUACUGUACUGUGGGUACAAGUGUCUGCCAACUCUAAGGCCUUGUCAGUGUUACACCUCUCUAGGCUGGGAGUUACAGCAUAAUGAAACCCAGAGAACUCUGCCCUGUCCCUCACUUAGUAAUGACUGAUCUGAAGGCCUCUGGGCAAGGGUCUCCUGGGACCACCAUGCGUCAGCUGGGCCAAGCACACGACAACCCUGGUGAGGUAGGUGUGGUGGUUUUCCGGGUGGGAAACCAGGGUACUGAGAGGUGAAGGGAGGUGCCCAGCAUGGGGGCGGGGGCAGAUGCUGGCUGGUGGCUGGUCUGGCAGUUCCUGCAUUUUCCACUGUCUGGGGCUCAACCUCUGAUGGUGGUUGUAAUUUUGUUGGGUCCCUUUGCCUGGAGGGACAUUUUCCUGGAAGUCACAGAGCUUACUAGAACUGAAUCCAGGGAUCUGCCUGGUUGGGGUUGUGGCCUGGGGAUGGCUGUCGGCUCUGUAUGUUCCUGGGUUCGCAGAGCUCAUUGCUCCGUCCUAGGACCAGAUGCCCCCAUGCUAGAUCCUAG
rnacentral:lncRNA from 1 species